UACGGGGGGAGCAAGCGUUGUUCGGAUUUACUGGGCGUAAAGGGCGCGUAGGCGGCGUGGUAAGUCACUUGUGAAAUCUCCGGGCUUAACCCGGAAAGGUCAGCCGAUACUGCGGGGCUAGAGUGCAGAAGGGGCAACUGGAAUUCUCGGUGUAGCGGUGAAAUGCGUAGAUAUCGAGAGGAACACCUGCGGCGAAGGCGGGUUGCUGGGCUGACACUGACGCUGAUGCGCGAAAGCUAGGGGAGCGAACGGG
rnacentral:rRNA from 1 species